AAACUGCCCAACUGGGUUUUGAGAAGGCUUAUCUUCCGAUAUGCGGAUGAAAACGGCCAGAUCAGUCUGGACAACUUUCUGGCUGCGAUGGCCCGCUUGAUGAAGACUUACAGUGUAUUCCAAGAAAACCAGAUUGAUGGUAAAGCCCCUUUUGAACUUGAACAGUGGCUGUACAGGACUUUGGUCCUGUGAGUGAGACGGUUGUGAACGGAGAUAUCCAGAGCUUGGUAGCAGAACAGAGACCCACAUCUCUGCAACAGUAUUCGGAAUCUCAAGAAGUGCCAGCACACGUUGUAGGACAAGUUCAAAAUGUUUCAGCUUUCCAUUUACUGUGUGUAUUUUGACAUAGCUAGGUUUCAAGAAGCCUUAGGCAUUCUACGAUUUUUUUGACCCAGUGCCAUGCUGAGGAGAUAUGAACGGAUAUAUUCAGAAAUUAUUUCUUACACUUAUUGAAAUUCUCUUUAAUUUAUUCUCCACAAGGCGUGUAUUUUCAACACAGGGGUGGUUUUAAAAAACUGAACAGAUUCUUCUAAUGAACCAUUAUUAUGGGUCGAAUUGUUUCGAGUGUUUUUGUAUAAGCACUGGUAUCAGUUUGAGUGGUUCUCUCUUGUUUCUCUUUUGCUUAUUUCAAGGCCCCGGUUUGUACUGUUUUCCUUUCAUUUAAAAUUCCUUUUCCUCUUAGAUUUUCUGUCUGACUUCACUUACGUAAGUGUUUGUUUGUUGAAAAAGAUGUAUGUGAAGAUAUUGUAAUUCGGUGUGGUCUUGUUAUUUUGAACUGACUGUCUGAUGCACAUGCUUCUUUUUUAUUUUUACUGAUUGUACUGAGAUAAAAUCUGAUGACUUACAUUCUGUACAAUUUUGUUUGUGUGCUUAAGCUGCUAAUAUGCAUUCCAGACCCUAAUCUUUCACUUGUGUUAUACAUUCCCAGUUUUUGUGCUUUUUGUGGUCUUUGGUGUGCAGGCUACUCAAAGAAUUUGCUUUAUUUUGAUCCCCAAGCCCAGAGUGAGUGGCCACUUGUUAACUUGUUAUCUGUGCAAUGUUUUGACAAUCAUCAUCUGCUCCUCCGAUGCACGAUGGUGCAUGCACGGUGGUGCUCACAACAUAAUUUGUCCCUGGAAAUCUCAAUUAUGGAGCAAACAUCUGCGUUAUUUUUGCUUAUGUUAUUGCCUUUUGUUCGAUGGCUAUUAGGUAGCAUUAUAGUGACAAGUGAUGCUAUACUUUGAAAAUAUCACUGGAUGUAGAUAACUAAUGCUGCUAAUAAAAAGAAAAGAUCGUAUGGUCUGGUUGAGGUGCUAUUAUCAAAAUGUCCAUCAAGGUAGAACUUGUUAUCCACCACAGAAUUACUGGAGACAGUGGGAAGUCUUCCAAGUGUAUGGCAUUUUUUUUUCAGAAACAGUAUUACUAUUUAUGAAUGUUACCAAUGACAAGUAUUGAUUUGACACAAUUUGCGUACUGUAGGUCUAUUAUUUACAGCAUUUCCAGUACCAGUGCAAAACAAAGUACAAUUGCUCAUGAUGACCCUUUGUGGCCAAUUUUGAUGAAAACCUGUCGACACAUGAAGUAUAGUUUGCUCUUGAAUUGGUCAGCUGAAAUUGAAAACGAAUAUUUGAAGAAAAAAAAGUCAAAUUUUUUUUUCUACAUUCUAUGUGCUAAUUAAACUUAAAAAUAAUACAAGGGCCAAUAUCAAUAUCAGUUUCAGCUGAAUGCAAGACAAUGGUUAUGAACUAUACCAAACAGAUCAGGACCUUUAGACAGCAUGUUGAGUUGCAUUUUCUUUUUAUCGCUUAAAUUGUUUAGAUUUCAUUGAAAUUUUAUUUUUUUACUACUACUACGCAGUCUCCAUUUUUGCAAUUACAAUUAAACUGACUAUGGAAAAGUACAGGGUGAUCCCAAAAAAACUUUACAACUUUUUUUCUGAAUAUCUCGCGCAAAAAUUGUUCUAGAAU
rnacentral:lncRNA from 1 species